CGGGCCUCGAUCCCGCAACAAUUCAAUUAACAGCUAAACGCCCAAUCCAGCGGGCUUAAACCUAUACUUCUCCCGU
rnacentral:tRNA from 1 species